CACACAGUCACUCACACACAGUUACAGGCAGACAGUCAAAUACGCAGGCAAUCACACAGGCAGACAGUCACACACACAAUCACAGACAGUCACACAUACACACAACACAGUCACAGACAGUCACACACACAAUCACAGGCAGACAGUCACACACACACACACACCCACAAUCACAGGCAGACAGUUACACACAGUGACACACACACACACAGAGUAACACAG